rnacentral:rRNA from 1 species
AACGAACACUGGCGGCAGGCUUAACACAUGCAAGUCGAACGCUCCGCAAGGAGAGUGGCAGACGGGUGAGUAACGCGUGAGAAUCUACCUAGUUCUACGGAACAACACAGGGGAACUUGUGCUAAUACCGUAUACGCCCUACAGGGGAAAGAUUUAUCGGAAUUAGAUGAGCCCGCGUAAGAUUAGCUAGUUGGUGGGGU